UUUUUUUUUCUAUACAAUUCAAUAUCCUCCUUCAACACGAUUCAAUUUCGUCGUUAGAUUCCAAAUCUAAAAUUAACACGGAAAAAUAGUACAAAAUCCUCUCUGAGAAUCCAGAAAACCCUUUAAUUCUUGAUUUUCAGGUAUUAGUUGACUGUGUUUGGACUUUUCACUUUUGUGAGGUUGAGGAGGAGGAGGAGGAGGUAUUAGUUGACUGUGUUUGGACUUUUCACUUUUGUGAGGUUGAGGUUGGGGAGGAGGAGGAGGUAUUAGUUGACUGUGUUUGGACUUUUCACUUUUG